UACAGAGGUCUCGAGCGUUGUUCGGAUUCAUUGGGCGUAAAGCGCGCGUAGGUGGCCACAUAAGUCCGUUGUGAAAGUCAAAGGCUCAACCUUUGAAAGCCGAUGGAUACUGUGUGGCUAGAGUACGGAAGAGGCGAGUGGAAUUCCUGGUGUAGCGGUGGAAUGCGCAGAUAUCGGGAGGAACACCGGCGGCGAAGGCGGCCCUCUGGACGGUGACUGACGCUAAGACGCGAAAGCGUGGGGAGCAAACAGG
rnacentral:rRNA from 1 species